rnacentral:lncRNA from 1 species
UAAGAGGACAAUCAACCCAUAUGGCCUACAGCGACCUAUGCUCGAUAGAAGCUGUCGUCCUUAUUAACAGCCUAUCAUUUGGUCGUGAACAGUUUUAAGGACUAAUCGAUAAAUCCUCUCUUUAUCGAACUUAAAUAGUCCUAAGGACUUCAUCAUAACAACGGAGUUCAUUAGAAGAUGAAAGCUUAUGAUGAAAAUACCAAAUAUAUUUUAUUUAUUAACAAAUCAAUUACAAUACUUGAUUGCUCAACCGUCAACAGCUUGACGAUUGGCUUUUUGGGACACAUUUCUCAA